GGAGGAUGUGCGUCCGGCGCUAAACGAGCACGCUGACAUGGUGGCGGAGCUCUUCGGCCGCGUCUCCACGGAGCUCCGCGGCGGGUUCGGCCCCGUCGUCGACUCCUUCGUCGGCUUCUUCCACGCCGUCGACUAGAUGGUGCGUCUUUUUUCCCUCACCCCCUGAUUCGCUCGCGUGACCCUGGGAUUUAGUCCACCGGGAAGUAGAAGCCGCUCCUGCAACCGCCGGCGUCAGUGCGCUCGUUGUCGACUAAAUCCAACGGACGCUGUGAUUUUUCAUCGCCGGCCUCGCCUGGAUCUCUCUUGAGAGGCAGCGAUGGUCUGGGUAUUUAUGCUACAUAGGACCAACAAUUUGAUUCUGCUCGAUUCCACUGCCUCCUCAUUCCUGUGGACUAGUAAAUCAAUCGAACAACACCACGCUGCAUCUAAGAGCAGAAAUCUGAAUCCGUUCAUCAUGCACGUUGUUUCUGUCGGUUGCUCGCUGCGCUUCUGUAUGUGUGUAUAUGAGCGUGCUUGUUUCUGAAUGUAGGGCCGCUGAUGAGCGCGGACCAUCGAGAUCAAGGCCGCCGAGGUACAAACAACAGAAAUCUGAAUCCGUUCCUUCAGAAAAUUUCAUUUGGAACUGCAGAGCCGGCUGAUUGACUGACUGAAUCUGGUUGUGACACAGACAAUUCAGGGCGAGACGAUGCUGACCUGGGACGUGACGAUGCUGUGGUGGGACAUGAUGUACACGGAGGAGUUCGUGCCGGCCGAUGAGGGCGCCUACACCAUUGUGGUGAGCAAGGGUUUACAUGAUUGGUCUGUGCGGUUGUUCUACUCUGCAAUCUUGAGAUUGGUUAGAUUAAUAUCGUGACAAAGAGAGACCAUAUUAGAUGUACACAGGGACCGUCCCAUGUUCUUGUGGUCUGGUAUGCUUUAAGACAUUAGGCUGUAUGCUUUAUAAAGGAUUAGGCUGUGGCUUUCGCGUCCCAUGCCCUGUUCGAUUCUCUGCGCUGUGCUGCUCCUCCGGUGCCAUUCGGGGGCCACAACCGCGUGGUGCGUGGCGCCCAGGGGUUGCUAAUGCUCGCAUUUGGAGGGAUUUGCGAGUCGGAUGUAGCGGUUCCACUAUGCCGUGUUGAUUUUAGUUUCGUGGUAGGUUGAGGCUGAGUUGGUUGGGAUUGUGCUUCCGUUUAAGUUGCUUCCUAGUUCGUGUUUAGAUUAAUUUGGUUGGUCUUCCUAUGAGAGCAGAGGAGGUGUACUUUUGCCUGCUCGUUUGAAUUGAUCUGUAUCGGGUGCCUCCAUUCAAUUUUCUUCCCAGUUCAUGUUCAGAUUUAUGUGCUUGUUCAUUUUUUUAGAGCAGCAGAUGCAGUCAUUUUCUUAAAGCCAAAAUGUAACAAUAAAUUGUUUGGUCGGAUUGGGAACUACAUAGUUUCCUGUACAUCAUUUCCUGUACUACUUUGCUAAUUUAGAGCAGCAUAUGCGGUCAUUUUUUUAGAGCAGCAGAUGCGGUCAUUUGUGCUGACCUUGCUAACUUAUACAUCAUUUCCUAUACUAAUGGUUACCUGUUGGUUGAGUAAUAAGUAUCAUAACCUGUGGAAUUGAUCAAGGUAGUAGGUACAUAACCUGUGGUGUGUGCAGCAGCACUUGAAUGCAUAUAUUAAAUAUGUACCCUGGAUAGCAGUAGUACUUCAGUACUACUCCAGUAGCAUUUGUGCCCUCCAGUACUGCUGUUGUGAAACUGUUGCUGCUGCUGUGAAACUAUUUCUGCUGCUGCUACUGUCAAACUACUUUUGUUGUUGUUUUCGUUGUCAUAUGACUCUAAUCUGUGCUGUUGUUGGUGUCAAACUGAUGCUAUGAACCCAGCAGCUCAUAUGACUCUAUUGUUGUUCUUGACCUGCUGUUGCUGCUGUUGUAGGAGGAGCACGCCUAGGAGAAGAAGGAGCACUCCCAGGAGAAGCUCUGCCUCUACAGCCUCUACAAGCAGGCCACCGUUGGCCCCGUCAACACCGGUAUAUAUACACAUCUGUCCAUCUUCUUAUUACUAGCAUCAGUAACAGGUUUGAUUUACUGUUGAAGUGCUUUCAAGUUUGGUUUGUGGUGCUGUAUAAGCAGAGGGCUGACUGCAUAAUUUGUUUGGCAUGCUGCUGCUUGCCCUGUCCUGCUUAACUCUGAGGAGUGACUCUGUUUAAUUGAUUGUGUGUACAUAUAUCCUUGGAAAGGACAAUCUGAUGGGAAAGGAAAAUACACAAUCCCCAUCCUAUUGCUCUAACCUGAUAGCAGUACAACCAACACCAUGUGGUCACUCCUUGUUUCAAACAAAAAAUUGCUCUGUAUGAAUCAACAAGAACUAGGUAGAUUGAUGAUCGUACGUGCUUUGUUGUGUUGGCUGUGAAAAUGUCCAUCUUAAUCCAUUUGUAACUAGAAACAAAUUACCUUGGUCUUACAAUAUGCAUGUGUGCAUUGUCCUUAGUGCCUCUCAUUUAUUUAGAAGUCAACAUGUGUAUGUGCACCUUAAUGAUGGGAAUGCAGUGGUAAGUCAAUUCAGCUAUGAAUCUGUGAUAAGAUUAGAGUAUGUUUGGCUGGUAGAUAUUAUAUAAAGUGAAUGUAGAAUGAUAGCAAAUUACUGAUAUACCAUGUUUGUGACUGAUAAACCAGAAGGAUUAUUUUCUGGUAAAUGUGCACAGAACGAUUCAUUAUUUUGAUGUUGCUGCUAAUAAGAAUGGACUCAACCACAACUUUCUACUUAUAUUUCUUCUUUUGUUUUUUGAAACAGUGGUAAGCCCUGUCUCAUCAUUUUGAAGGUCUACAAAAGUUCAGGCUGCAUGCAGCUAAUGCCAGCAGUUCCAGAAUGGAAAAUAUUUGGCACUUGGCAGGCGAAAAGAUAGUUUCUCCUGGAGCUAAGAGAGGGCUAAUUCCACUUGUUUGGAAGAGAAUACGAUGAAGCAUGGUGGUUAUCUAUCAAUCUGCCUUGUGUUUUGGUUGUACUUUGUACCUAGUUAUAUUGUAUUCUGUAGUAGUUAGCACAUUCUGGAGCAGAAUCCAGUGAAGUUGUAAAACUGUAAUAGUUUUGUUUCAUUUGAAAUAUUUGUCAUUUGUGUACUAUGAGAAAUGUGAGAAAUGGAAAGCUGAUGAGUUGGACUAACUUAUUGAUAGAGGCCAAGGCCCAAAACGUAAAUAGACCGCAAAAAG
rnacentral:lncRNA from 1 species